rnacentral:rRNA from 1 species
UACGUAGGGGGCGAGCGUUGUCCGGAUUUACUGGGCGUAAAGCGCCCGUAGGCGGCCUGACAAGUUGGACGUGAAAGCUCCUGGCUUAACUGGGAGAGGCCGUUCAAAACUGUCAAGCUAGAGUCUGGAAGAGGAGAGCGGAAUUCCCGGUGUAGUGGUGGAAUGCGUAGAGAUCGGGAGGAACACCAGUGGCGAAAGCGGCUCUCUGGGACGGUACUGACGCUGAGACGCGAAAGCGUGGGGAGCCGAACAGG